UGUCUCCAAAUCUUCAGUCAGUCUGUUGCACCCAACAACCUCAUGUCAGUGAUGUGUGAAAAGAAUGAAGGUAAAACAGAGGCACCUGUCCAUGGGACAAGUUGGAGGAGGCAAGAUGUCAGCCUUUUGAGAGUGAAUCAAGAAUUUGGAUGGAGGAGGAAUUCAGUUGCCCAGGAAACUACCCAUCAGAAGAGAUCUCUGAGAAGAUACACAAGGAAAUUCGUCACUUGGCCAUUAGCAGCCUGCAGAUCCAGAGUUCUACCAGAUCUCUUCCAAAAUGAGAUCUGUCUCACAGGCGGGCGAUUCUGUGGCGAUCACUGCGGAUCUCCUUACUUCCGUGCUGAAGCGGCGAUCCCUUGAAAUGCGGCCGUCUUUCCGGGAGCGACGUUCAUCCGGUCCCUGUACUCCAAGCCCCACCAUUGGGCGCCAAUAUGCCCUGGCCUGCGGGGUCAUUCAACAGGGACCUGGAGGAGGGAAUGGAUGAAUGGAUGGGACAAGAGACACAAAGAAUGAGAGCAAGACAGGAGGUCUGAUCAAGCUCUAACGUUUAUUCAAGGAGGCUGAUUAUAUACACAAGCAAGGGGGGAAGAAAGAUGCACGUGAAGGAAGGAAUGCAGUGGGAAACACAAGGUAUCAGGGACCUGCUAACAAAUGUUGACACAUGGUAAUCUCAGUUCCUGGGACCAACAGGUAUUUACGACUCUCCACGACUCUCCAGGAACUAACAGUUAUUUAUGACCCGUUUGCUGCUUAUCUAGCUGUAACAUUCCACCAGAGUUAGUUAAUACUGUUUUAACUUUUCCACCAGAGUUCUUUAACUCUUUCCUUGGCUCCUGGCAUCUCGCAAACAUAAUGUUGAAUGAAAGGAACCAGACAGAAAAGAAUUAUGUAUUGUUUGGUCCCAUUUAUUUAAAGUUCAGAACCAGACAAAAUGAAUCCAUGGUUUAAAAGUUGGGAUAUUGGCAACCUUGACAAGAGUAGGUGACAGGGUGUUCAUGUGAGGGGCCCUUUUAUGAUGUUAGUGAAACCUAUUUCUUGAUCUUGGUGAUUACACAUGGGUCUGUUUACUUUGAAAAUUCAUCAAGCUAUGUACUUAUGACUUGUGCACGUUUUAAAAUGUUAGGCUUUCAUGAAAAAUUAAUUCUAAAAAAAACUACUUUUUAAGCAGUGGAAAUAAGAUUAAAAUAAUCAACAAGUUUAGAAAAUUCUUGGAAUUUAGAAAAGUAUAAGAUGUGUCAAUAUUAGCAUUUAAUGCAUAAAUAAAUCACUGCUUUUAUGCA